rnacentral:rRNA from 1 species
GAUGAACGCUGGCGGCGUGCCUAAUACAUGCAAGUCGAGCGAACAGACGAGGAGCUUGCUCCUCUGACGUUAGCGGCGGACGGGUGAGUAACACGUGGAUAACCUACCUAUAAGACUGGGAUAACUUCGGGAAACCGGAGCUAAUACCGGAUAAUAUAUUGAACCGCAUGGUUCAAUAGUGAAAGACGGUUUUGCUGUCACUUAUAGAUGGAUCCGCGCCGCAUUAGCUAGUUGGUAAGGUAACGGCUUACCAAGGCAACGAUGCGUAGCCGACCUGAGAGGGUGAUCGGCCACACUGGAACUGAGACACGGUCCAGACUCCUACGGGAGGCAGCAGUGGGAAAUCUUCCGCAAGGGGCGAAAGCCUGACGGAGCAACGCCGCGUGAGUGAUGAAGGUCUGCGGAUCGUAAAACUCUGUUAUUAGGAAAGAACAAAUGUGUAAGUAACUAUGCACGUCUGGACGGUACCUAAUCAGAAAGCCACGGCUAACUACGG